UUUCUACUAGUGCUCUGUCCCAAAAUUCUUGUAUUAGAUUUGUCUAAAUAUGGAUGUAUCAAGUCAUUGAUACAUCCGUAUUUAGACAAAUCUAAUACAAGAAUUUUGGGACGGAGGGAGUAUUGU
rfam:Triticum aestivum genome assembly, contig: Triticum_aestivum_CS42_TGACv1_scaffold_289170_4AL